AUUGAACGCUGGCGGCAUGCCUUACACAUGCAAGUCGAACGGCAGCGCGGACUUCGGUCUGGCGGCGAGUGGCGAACGGGUGAGUAAUACAUCGGAACGUACCCUGUUGUGGGGGAUAACUAGUCGAAAGAUUAGCUAAUACCGCAUACGACCUGAGGGUGAAAGUGGGGGACCGCAAGGCUUCACGCAGCAGGAGCGGCCGAUGUCUGAUUAGCCAGUUGGUGGGGUAAAGGCCCACCAAGGCAACGAUCACUAGCUGGUCUGAGAGGACGAUCAGCCACACUGGGACUGAGACACGGCCCAGACUCCUACGGGAGGCAGCAGUGGGGAAUUUUGGACAAUGGGGGCAACCCUGAUCCAGCAAUGCCGCGUGUGUGAAGAAGGCCUUCGGGUUGUAAAGCACUUUUGUCCGGAAAGAAAUCGCGCUGGUUAAUACCUGGCGUGGAUGACGGUACCGGAAGAAUAAGCACCGGCUAACUACGUG
rnacentral:rRNA from 1 species